GCCUGGGUGGCUCAGUUGGUUGAGCGCCUGACUUCGGCUCAGGUCACUCUCUCACAGCCCAUGAGUUCGAGCCCCGCUUCGGGCU
rnacentral:tRNA from 1 species